GUGCCAGCAGCCGCGGUAAUACGAAGGUGGCAAGCGUUGUUCGGAUUUACUGGGCGUACAGGGAGCGUAGGUGGUUUGGUAAGCCCCUCGGGAAAUCUUCGGGCUUAACCCGGAAAGGUCGGGGGGGACUGCCAGGCUAGAGGACGGGAGAGGAGCGCGGAAUUCCCGGUGUAGCGGUGAAAUGCGUAGAGAUCGGGAGGAAGGCCGGUGGCGAAGGCGGCGCUCUGGAACGUUCCUGACACUGAGGCUCGAAAGCGUGGGGAGCAAACAGGAUUAGAAACCCCCGUAGUCC
rnacentral:rRNA from 1 species